UGGGGAAUAUUGCACAAUGGGCGCAAGCCUGAUGCAGCAACGCCGCGUGAACGAUGAAGGUCUUCGGAUCGUAAAGUUCUGUUGCAGGGGAAGAUAAUGACGGUACCCUGUGAGGAAGCCCCGGCUAACUACGUGCCAGCAGCCGCGGUAAUACGUAGGGGGCUAGCGUUAUCCGGAUUUACUGGGCGUAAAGGGUGCGUAGGUGGUCCUUCAAGUCGGUGGUUAAAGGCUACGGCUCAACCGUAGUUAGCCUCCGAAACUGGAAGACUUGAGUGCAGGAGAGGAAAGUGGAAUUCCCAGUGUAGCGGUGAAAUGCGUAGAUAUUGGGAGGAACACCAGUAGCGAAGGCGGCUUUCUGGACUGCAACUGACACUGAGGCACGAAAGCGUGGGUAGCAAACAGG
rnacentral:rRNA from 1 species